rnacentral:rRNA from 1 species
GACGUAGGGGGCCAGCGUUGGUUCGGAAUUACUGGGGUGUAAAAGGGUUCGUAGGCGGUGCGGCAAGUUGGGAGUGAAAUCUCUGGGCUUAACCCAGAAGGCUGCUUCCAAAACUGCUGAUGCUUGAGUGUGGGAGAGGCGCGUGGGAAUUGCAGGUGUAGCGGUGAAAUGCGUAGAUAUCGCGGAACACCCGGUGGCGAAAGCGGCGCGCUGGACCGACUACUGACGCUGAGGAACGAAAGCUAGGGGAGCAAAACAGGG